UACGGAGGGUGCAAGCGUUAUCCGGCUUUACUGGGUUUAAAGGGUGUGUAGUCGGGCUUUUAAGUCAGUGGUGAAAUCUCCGGGCUCAACCCGGAAACUGCCAUUGAUACUAUUAGUCUUGAAUACUGUUGAGGUGGGCGGAAUAUGUCAUGUAGCGGUGAAAUGCAUAGAUAUGACAUAGAACACCAAUUGCGAAGGCAGCUCACUAAGCAGUCAUUGACGCUGAGGCACGAAAGCGUGGGGAUCAAACAGG
rnacentral:rRNA from 1 species